UCGGGUAUGGUGCACGGCGCACCGCUCCUUCUUGUGACGCCAUUUGAACAUCGCACCAUGCACUGGAGCAAGCCAGGGUUCGAAUCCCUGUGCCCGAU